rnacentral:rRNA from 1 species
AGUGAACGCUAGCGGUAGGCCUAACACAUGCAAGUCGAACGGCAGCACAGUAAGAGCUUGCUCUUACGGGUGGCGAGUGGCGGACGGGUGAGGAAUACAUCGGAAUCUACUUUUUCGUGGGGGAUAACGUAGGGAAACUUACGCUAAUACCGCAUACGACCUACGGGUGAAAGCAGGGGAUCUUCGGACCUUGCGCGAUUGAAUGAGCCGAUGUCGGAUUAGCUAGUUGGCGGGGUAAAGGCCCACCAAGGCGACGAUCCGUAGCUGGUCUGAGAGGAUGAUCAGCCACACUGGAACUGAGACACGGUCCAGACUCCUACGGGAGGCAGCAGUGGGGAAUAUUGGACAAUGGGCGCAGGCCUGAUCCAGCCAUACCGCGUGGGUGAAGAAGGCCUUCGGGUUGUAAAGCCCUUUUGUUGGGAAAGAAAAGCAGCAGGUUAAUACCCCGCUGUUCUGACGGUACCCAAAGAAUAAGCACCGGCUAACUUCGUGC